rnacentral:tRNA from 2 species
GGGUAUCGCCAAGCGGUAAGGCACCGGUUUUUGAUACCGGCAUUCCCUGGUUCGAAUCCAGGUACCCACCA